rnacentral:lncRNA from 1 species
AAGUGGGAUCGCCGCAGUUGAAAAGCCCGAUCAGUGCCUGGAGAUUAGAACGCGAGCCUUUAAAGUACACACGCACCCGGCACCGGGAAAGCCCAGGCGCCUGUGACCCUCCGAAGGACUCUGGGUCAGCAUCCUCGCGCCUGGACCAUCUAGGGGGUCAUCAGAAAGUAAUACACGUCAUAAGAAAGAUGUGGGGGAGACCCCGAUGCUCGCGCCUCUGCCAGGUGGAGGCGGGGUGCAGGUAGAAGCCGCGCGCUGGACUGCUGGAUGAACUCCGUUACGCGCAGGCUCCGCGCCGACCCCGGAAGGGACAGUGUCGAAGUUUCCCCUUCGCGCUGUGCCUCUGGUGAAAACAGGACAUCCCCUUCGGCCACCCCAC